AUGAAUCAAUCAGGAAGGGGAAGAUUAGAGCUCCACACCAGGAAUGGCCAAGAAUCUGAAGAAUCGGAAGCCAAUGCAGCACCAACUUUUGAUGGAUUCAUGGAAUCAUCAUGUUCUCCACACGUAGAAUACAAGCUAGCUAACCACAUGAGAUUGCCUUUUUGUUUUUGUCAUCGAAUCGAAUCGAAUGAUGGGAGGGAUGCACAUCUUUCUUUCCAGGCUCCAAAAACAACAUCUACCCAACAAUCUCAUCAAGAACCAAAUGCAAAGCCGGGAGAGACAGAAUCAAUUCACAAUCUCGCAGAAAACCAACCAAAUCGGAGGAGAAUGAUGAACAGAGAAGCAAUCAAUUCACAUGCUGAAUCUUAA
rnacentral:rRNA from 1 species